AUUGAACGCUGGCGGCAGGUCUAACACAUGCAAGUCGAACGGUAACAGGAAGAAGCUUGCUUCUUUGCUGACGAGUGGCGGACGGGUGAGUAAUGUCUGGGAAACUGCCUGAUGGAGGGGGAUAACUACUGGAAACGGUAGCUAAUACCGCAUAACGUCGCAAGACCAAAGAGGGGGAACUUCGGGCCUCUUGCCAUCGGAUGUGACCAGAUGGGAUUAGCUAGUAGGUGGGGUAACGGCUCACCUAGGCGACGAUCCCUAGCUGGUCUGAGAGGAUGACCAGCCACACUGGAACUGAGACACGGUCCAGACUCCUACGGGAGGCAGCAGUGAGGAAUCUUGCACAAUGGGCGCAAGCCUGAUGCAGCCAUGCCGCGUGUAUGAAGAAGGCCUUCGGGUUGUAAAGUACUUUCAGCGGGGAGGAAGGGAGUAAAGUUAAUCCCUUUACUCAUUGACGUUACCCGCAGAAGAAGCACCGGCUAACUCCGUG
rnacentral:rRNA from 1 species